AUUUUCUUCCAUUCAACCGGUGCUAGGCGUUAACAUCAGCGAAAGCAACUUGAUUAAAGGGAGCCGGGCCAGCAAUCCGGACGGGCCAAACCUCAAUGUGCCCUCAAAGGACAAAAUCAUUCCUCUGCUCCUGCCCAUUCCGGAUCCUCCGCCAGUUUAAUACGCCUGGCAAGAACAACAAGACAACUCUAUGCAGGUGAAACAACAUCCAAUUAGAUUGCGGGUUGCGUCGGAGAAUCGGUUUCGAUCCGCGCUUGUGAGUGUCCCGCUUUCUGAAAAGGCUGGCCUCCCACCCGGAGCAGGAAUCGGUUCUGAUGGGCAUGAGCUUUAAGAUACAAUACUGGGACAGCCGAAGCUUUGCCCGGUGGAGAAUGUGAAAGGACCGAUACGCAAAACAUACGAGCUCUGUGAAUCAUCCUACUGUUCGCUGAGGCAAUCAAAACACAUCUAACUGAGUGUCUUAAGGCUUGUAUAUUCUCUGAAACUGGCAGGGUCCACUGCGGUUCCUCGGAUUCAUCAUUUGAAGCGUCUGAGUGGUUAUGCUAUUAUUUGAAAAAUUAUUUAAUGCAAUCAAUGUGUAAAAAAUGCUGAAAUAAAAAAUAAUUGAUGACUAAAAUGA